AUUGAACGCUGGCGGCAUGCCUUACACAUGCAAGUCGAACGGCAGCGCGGACUUCGGUCUGGCGGCGCGUGGCGAACGGGUGAGUAAUACAUCGGAAUGUCCCCCGCUGUGGGGGAUAAUUAGUCGAAAGAUUAGCUAAUACUGCAUAAGACCUGAGGGUGCAAGAGGGGGACGGGAAACGGCCUCAGGCAGCAGGAGCGGGCGAUGUCGGAUUUGCUCGUUGGUGGGGUAAAGGCCCACUCAGUCGACGAUCAGUAGCUGGUCUCUGAGAACGAUCGGCCGCAUUGGGAGUUGAACACGGACCAUGGGCCUACGGGAGGCAGCAGUGGGCAAUGGUGGACAAUGGGGGCAACCCUGGUCCAGCGAGGCCGCGUGCGUGACGAAGACCUUCGGGUUGUAAAGCACUCUUGUCCGGAAAAAAAUCGCGCUGGUUAAUACCUGGCGUGGGUGACGGUACCGGGAGAAUAAGCACCGGCUAACUACGUG
rnacentral:rRNA from 1 species